rnacentral:rRNA from 2 species
AAAUUGAAGAGUUUGAUCAUGGCUCAGAUUGAACGCUGGCGGCAGGCCUAACACAUGCAAGUCGAACGGUAACAGGAAGCAGCUUGCUGCUUCGCUGACGAGUGGCGGACGGGUGAGUAAUGUCUGGGAAACUGCCUGAUGGAGGGGGAUAACUACUGGAAACGGUAGCUAAUACCGCAUAAUGUCGCAGGACCAAAGAGGGGGACCUUCGGGCCUCUUGCCAUCAGAUGUGCCCAGAUGGGAUUAGCUUGUUGGUGAGGUAACGGCUCACCAAGGCGACGAUCCCUAGCUGGUCUGAGAGGAUGACCAGCCACACUGGAACUGAGACACGGUCCAGACUCCUACGGGAGGCAGCAGUGGGGAAUAUUGCACAAUGGGCGCAAGCCUGAUGCAGCCAUGCCGCGUGUAUGAAGAAGGCCUUCGGGUUGUAAAGUACUUUCAGCGGG